rnacentral:lncRNA from 12 species
AUGCUGCCCCUUUGCACCCUCCUUUCCCUCUGCCUCCCCUCUGGUCUUCAGACUGGAUUCUCUUUUCUCUCCACCCCUUUCUUUUCUUUCUUUAGGUCUCUGCUCUGUUUUCCUAAGUCUGCCCUUUCUUCCCUCUGGCUCUUGUUUGCCAUGUCACUCCAUCUCUGUUCCCCUAUUUUUGUCUCUAUUUUCAGCUUUGUCUCUCCUUUCUUGUCUCCCCUUCCUCCUGCUGGCCUCUCCCUGCCCAAUUAUAUGCCAGUGAAGACAGGGGGCCAGAGAGGCAAGCCUGGCCUCCACCCAGCUCCUCUGUGCUGGGAAGGGAGCCCCAACUACAGUGGUGAGUGUGCUGGGAUGACUUUGGAGGACUUUGGGAGUGAGAGAGGAGCAGCUAGGGACAGAGGAAGGAGACAGGAGAGCUGCCCCCACACUUGGCUCAUGUGGGCACACACACAGAUAUUAGAGCAUGGAUUGGGGUGGAGUUCUGAGAAUAGCCCCUUGCCUGCACCAGCCCCCCGCUGAGGCCCAGCUGAGGCCAGGGGUGAGAGCUGACCCCUUGCCCAGUCCUGCCUGGAGCAGAGGUCCGGCUCAGCCCGAGCCUGGGAACCUCGGGCCAGCACAAGCUGUUCUCCUCCCUGGGGACUGGGGUCACAGCCCAGCCCUGGGAGAGGCCACUUGUAAAGGUCAAAACAGGAGAGUGAGAACCCAGUACUGAAGACAGGCAAUAGGGUGGGGCUGGGGGUGGGCUGGUGGGGCCCCGCUCUAGGGGUGACCACCCCCCAGCCUCACCCCAGCCUUGCCACCUCAAAUGAUCUGCCCAGCCCAAGGCUUUCUGAGGCUACAGAUACAGGAGACCAUUGGCCAAUUUCCUGUGCCCUAAACUGGUCAAGCGAUGAGCGCCAGGGCGCUGCACACCUGGGUCCUUCCCUAACCCUCCUGCCUGUCUGGGAGCCCGGGGCACUAACAAAGCCCUGACCAGGCGCUGUGCUAACCAGGAGGUGAGUUUUGUCC